GACGAACGCUGGCGGCGUGCUUAACACAUGCAAGUCGAACGGAAAGGCCCUUCUUUUGUCGUCUGCUCGAGUGGCGAACGGGUGAGUAACACGUGAGUAACCUGCCCUUGACUUUGUGAUAACUUCAGAAAACUUGGGCUAAUACCGUAUAGGAUCUCCUGCUGCAUGGUGGGGGUUGGAAAUUUUCGGCGGUUGGGUGUGGACUCGCGGCUUAUCAGCUUGUUGGUGGGGUAGUGGCUUACCAAGGCUUUGACGGGUAGCCGGCCUGAGAGGGUGCCCGGCCACAUUGGGACUGAGAUACGGCCCAGACUAAUACGGGAGGCAGCGGUGGGGAAUAGUGCACAAUGGGCGGAAGCGUGAUGCAACAACGCCGCGUGCGGGAUGACGGCCUUCGGGUUGUAAACCGCUUUCGCAUGUGAAGAAGAGUGAGUGACGGUAAUGGGUAAAGAAGCACCGGCUAACUACGUG
rnacentral:rRNA from 1 species